UUCACCCCUACUUUUCACCUUUCAUUGCGAAAAAGGUCAUUCUCAUCCAUUUUUUCAAUAAAAUGACGAUUUUAUCCUCCUAUUCAAAUAAAACAAAAAGAAAAGAAAAGAAAAAUAAUUAAUUAAUUGUAAUCAUAGUCCUAAAUCUUUCAAAACAUUACAGAUAAAUUCUAAACUUUCCACUACCGCCACUUUCAUAACCCUACCAAGCCACCACCUAUAGAUCAAUAUAGCACUACCUUUCGACCACAACACCUAUCGGACUCCACCACCACCAGCCUCACAUCACUCUUCCCAAUAUCCUCCUCCAUAAUAUUAGUCACCAAUUUGUCUAAAACAACCACAUUUACGGUGGCAGAGUCUGGUUGGAAUGGUGGCAGAAAGGUGGUAUUAUGUUGAUUUAUAGUUGGCAACUUGAUAGGUUAUGAAAGUGGUGGUGGUUGGGAAUUUAUGAUUUCUUUGUAAUUUUUUAAAAAUUGAAGGACUAUGGUUGCAGGUGAUUAUUCAUCUUUUCUUUUUGUUUUAUUUGAAUAGGAGGAUAAAAUCGUCAUUUUAUUGAAAAAAUGGAUGAGAAUGACCUUUUUCACAAUGAAAUGUGAAAAGUAGGGGUGAAAAUACUAAAAAAUUAAAGGUAGGGACGUUUUGCACAAUAACAUUGAAAGGUAUGGACCUUUUGUGCUAAUUAUGCCAAAAAAUGAAAUGUAAGGACGUUUUGCACAAUAAUAUUGAAAGGUAGGAACCUUUUAUGCUAAUUACCUUUUGAUUUAACGGAACAUUUUAACGGGGAGUUGACAGAAUGACGUUUUGGGCAAAAAAAAAGGUAAAGGUGAGGGUGUAAUCCGCCAAAAAACGAAAGGCAUGGACGUUUUCCACAAAAAAUAUCGAAAGGUAAGGACGUUUUGUGCUAAUUACCCUUUUUUUUUGCGCAAAACGUUUUUCUGUCAACCCCUCGUUAAAAUGCUCCAUUAAAUCAAAGAGUAAUUAACACAAAAGGUCUCUACAUUUUAAUAUUAUUGUGAAAAACGUUCUUACCUUUCAUUUGUUUGGCAUAAUUAGCAUAAAAGGUCCCUACAUUUCAAUGUUAUUGUGCAAAACGUCCCUACCUUUCACCUUUCAUUACGCAAAAUGUCCUUUUCAUCCAUUUUUUCAAUAAAAUGAUGAUUUUACCUUCCUAUUCAAAUAAAACAAAAAGAAAAUAAAGUAAAAAUAAUUAAUUAAUUGCAAUCAUAGUCCUAAAUGUUACAAAACAUUACAGAUAAAUCCUAAAUUCUCCACUACCGUCAUUUUCACAACCCCACCAAGCCACCACCUAUAGAUCCAUAUAGCACUACCUUUCGACCACAAC
rnacentral:lncRNA from 1 species